CUGCGAGAAUCAGAUCAGGGCUCAGCAGAAUUACAAAGAUGCUCUUCAUGCUUCUCCUAUUCACAGCUCUGCCAGGGGACAGUUCAGGUAACACACUGACUCCAGCUUCAGAGUCAGAACAUGUCAGAGAGGGAGGCAGUGUGACCUUCUCGUGUGUCUACACCGGUGAUGUGCUCUAUCUGCAGUGGUACAGGCAGUAUCCUGGCCAGCGUUUGGCAUUCAUCGUCCUCAUUCAUGAAGCUACUCUGACAGAGAGCAGAUCUGACCCUGCAGACCACCGUUUCAACAUCGAGCUUGAUAAAGAGAAGAAACGUGUGGAGCUGAAGCUCUCCUCCGCUACAGUGACAGACUCAGCCCUGUACUACUGUGCCCUGAACCCCACAGUGACAGGAAACUCACAGCAACACCUUACAGAAACUGGCAACACAUAGGAAUAUAAAACACUAAGGAAAAAAUCAAGAGUUUUCCUAGAACAGUUGAACCUCUCGUUAACCCAGUGUAUUUGAAAUGUCCUGCCACUCUGGACAGAGAGAAUUACUCUUCUCAAUUAAUGGUUAACUACCAUCCAAAGAGCCAUAUUAUCAUAAGAACAGAAUGGGUGACCAAUUCAUGCCACUAAUAUAUUUAAUUUUUACAGAAGCUCUAGCACCGCUCUGCUCAGAAAUAAAUAACUUUUUUAGCUCAUUUAAUCUUUUAAAUUUAAACAUUUGUCCAGCAUUCUGAUUUUUCUGACUUUUGUAACACCUUUAGAGAGAUGCAAAGGACUCUAUUAUUGCUUGUUUUUAGAAAUAAUGCCAACGAAGGCACACGUUGUUAACGCUGGCUGAUAUUUAAGCAAGAUGCAUGAACACACAAGCAUUUGGUCAGGUCUGGAGAGACACCCGUGGUCAUCAGUUCCUAGACUGCUCACACGCAAAGCAAGUGGUCCAGUGUCCAAGCUGAUUAUACAGUAGGCUAUACUCACUCUCACCCUGAAACUACGUUCAUUGUAUAAUUCCAUUAUUUUUAUUUCUAAGUAUUAACACAGCAGACAGUUAAACAAAUGAGCGAAUGCAUUCCCUGCACAAAAAAAUGUUUAGAAUUUAAUUUUUAAAGAAUUAUUUGCAAUUUUUGUGAGCUCAUUUAAUUGAUUCAACUCUGUUACUACUGACAUCAGCAUCAGUAUGUACAAUGGAACUACCGUAAGUGACAUCUGCCUAACGUCCAUGACCCACUUAAUAAACUUGUUUUAAAAGGGAGGUUGCAACUAACUAUAGUCAACAAUUUCGUAUUUGGAAGCAGAUUUAAGGGUAUUGCUGUAGAUGUGUAGGAGAGUGUUAAUUUCUCGUUUAAGGUCCCACGAGCACAUUAUUAAGGCAAUGAAGUACUUUGUUUCCCAAUGACCUGUGAGAAUACAUCUGUAAAACAUAACGUUCUUGAAUGGCAGUAUAAACCAAAUAAUAAAGGCUUUUGCAGUUUAAAAGAAAAGCUCUUACAUCAUCACUGUCUUCUAUUGGGAAAAGGAAGGUGGGAGGGAUUAUAGCAGUUCAUGCACUUGCAGAACAUAACAUGAAUGAACAGCCUUUUACUCACAGAUCACUUUUACUCAGUGAUCACUGCCACAGCCUCUACCAUGGGUCUCAAAUCCGGAUUAUUGCACUCAGUGGUUAUUGCACUGGUUUUCUUUCUAUGUGUGAGAUCUCAGUCUCAGGUGUCCCAGAGGCCAGCCUCGCUGACUGUAACAGAAGGAGAGACUGCGAUCCUUUACUGCAACUAUUCAAGUUCUGAUGCCCGCAGUCUACACUGGUUCAGGCAAAGAGCAAAUGGAAGCCCAGAGAUUAUAAUGAUCUUGUUUUCCACACAAAACGAGGAGAACCAGUUCAGUGGGUCAGUGGACAUGGAGAAGAGGACGGGAGUUUUCAAUGUCAGCAAUUCACAAGCUGAAGAUUCGGGCUCCUACUACUGUGCGGUCGAAGCACAGUGUGUGAAUCUUGUGAGAGAGGCUGACAGAAACUCAGUACAGUUCAUAGAGUAGCUGCACUGUGUGAGCUGGGAUUCACAUUACACUGGAAAGCAGUACUGCUUGACUUUGCAACUGAUAGGCUGCAUUAUAAGGGUUAUCCAUUAUUUAUUUCUGCAUCCACAUUAUUUGUUACUUUUUAAAUAGAAUUGAUUUAUGGACAUUGAUUUAUUGGAGUAACAAGACCAUGUGUUACUGGAUAAAAACUGCCAUUUCAAAAUGCAGCAAUUGAA